GAUGAACGCUGGCGGCGUGCCUAAUACAUGCAAGUCGAGCGAACGGACGAGAAGCUUGCUUUUUUGAUGUUAGCGGCGGACGGGUGAGUAACACGAGGAUAACCUAACUAUAAGACUGGGAUAACUUCGCGAAACCGGAGCUACUACCAGACGAUAUUUUGAACCGCUUGGUUCAACAGUGAAAGACGGUAUUGCUGUAACUCUUCGACGGAUACACGCUGCAUUAGCUAGUUGGUACGCGAACGGCAUACCACGGCAACGAUGCAUAGCCGACCUGAGAGCGAGAUCGGCUACCCGGGAACUGAGACUCGGUCCUGACUCCUGCGGUGGGCAGCAGUAGAGAAUCUUCCGCAAUGGACGAGUGCCGGACGGAGCAACGCCGCGUGAGUGAUGAUGGUCUGCGGAUCGUAAAACGCUGUUAUUAGUGAAUAACAUAUGUGUAAUUAACUGUGCACAUCUUGACGGUACCUAAUCAGAAAGCCACGGCUAACUACGUG
rnacentral:rRNA from 1 species